rnacentral:tRNA from 1 species
GCGGGGAUAGCUCAGUUGGGAGAGCGUCAGACUGAAGAUCUGAAGGUUGCGUGUUCGAUCCUUGCUCAACGCA